rnacentral:rRNA from 1 species
AUUGAACGCUGGCGGCAUGCCUCACACAUGCAAGUCGAACGGCAGCACGGGAGCAAUCCUGGUGGCGAGUGGCGAACGGGUGAGUAAUAUAUCGGAACGUGCCCAGUAGUGGGGGAUAACUGCUCGAAAGAGCAGCUAAUACCGCAUACGACCUGAGGGUGAAAGGGGGGGAUCGCAAGACCUCUCGCUAGUGGAGCGGCCGAUAUCAGAUUAGCCAGUUGGUGGGGUAAAGGCCUACCAAGGCAACGAUCUGUAGUUGGUCUGAGAGGACGACCAGCCACACUGGGACUGAGACACGGCCCAGACUCCUACGGGAGGCAGGAGUGGGGAAUUUUGGACAAUGGGCGCAAGCCUGAUCCAGCAAUGCCGCGUGCAGGAAGAAGGCCUUCGGGUUGUAAACUGCUUUUGUCAGGGAAGAAAUCCUCUAGGUUAAUACCCUUGGGGGGAUGACGGUACCUGAAGAAUAAGCACCGGCUAACUACGUGCCAGCCGCCGCGGUAAGAC